AUGGGAGGGGAACUGAGUAAGGAUCAAGUGGCACUGCAAAAUGUUAUAGGUUCUAAGGAAAUUAGGAAAAGAAGAAAGGCAAUUCUGGGCGAAAAGAGGCUAGCAAGGAUUAAAAAGAAAUCAAAGAAGAAGGAUCGAAAAUUCAACAAGGUAAAAGCUUCCGACAAACUUUUACCUAUUAGAGGGUCUGAAUUGAAGGCAUGGGUUGCUGUGGAUGGAGAGGCAAAACAAAUGGCAAAAGGGGUUUGGCAUUUUGGGUCGGAAAUUAGAAUCCAUAGGUCAGGAGAUGUAGAAGAAGUAGUGGAAAAGCUUGAAACCAAUUAA